ACCUACGGGGCGCAGCAGUGGGGAAUAUUGCACAAUGGGGGAAACCCUGAUGCAGCGACGCCGCGUGAGUGAAGAAGUAUUUCGGUAUGUAAAGCUCUAUCAGCAGGAACGAGACAAGACGGUACCUGACUAAGAAGCCCCGGCUAACUACGUGCCAGCAGCCGCGGUAAUACGUAGGGGGCAAGCGUUAUCCGGAUUUAUUGGGUGUAAAGGGCGUGUAGGCGGGAAUGCAAGUCAGAUGUGAAAACUAUGGGCUCAACCCAUAGCCUGCAUUUGAAACUGUAUUUCUUGAGUGCUGGAGAGGC
rnacentral:rRNA from 1 species